GAACAGAUUAUCAGAGCGACGAAUGAGAAUGCAACCUACACGUGAACGAGCGAUCACAACAACAACAAAGAUGUGCAUGAAGAGAAUUUACCUGUAACACCUGGGAUUACCUGUGCCGUCCAAGAUGACAAGACCACCGUAUUAUGUUACCUUGUAUGUGUGAUUUAUUUUUGUGAUUUUUAAUACAAUU